rnacentral:rRNA from 1 species
GACGUAGGAUGCGAGCGUUGUCCGGAAUCAUUGGGCGUAAAGAGUUCGUAGGCGGUAUAUCAAGUCUGGUGUUAAAGUCCGGAGCUCAACUCCGGGAGGGCACUGGAAACUGAUAAACUAGAGUGCAGUAGAGGCAAGGGGAAUUCCUAGUGUAGCGGUGAAAUGCGUAGAGAUGUGGAGGAACACCGAUGGCGAAGGCAGCCCCCUGGGUCGAUACUGACGCUCAUGCACGAAAGCGUGGGGAGCAAACAGG